UAUUUCUCGCUGUUUCCUCCACGCCUUCGUCUUUCACUUCACUUCACUCCCUUCCCUUUGGUUCCGUCCACCUGAAAAGGAAAGGGCAGUAUGCGAAGAUGAAGCAAAUGAUAUGGCCGACUCGAUCAGAUGCAUCUCGAUUCAAAUCUCUUCCUUCACCCAACAUCAAACCCAUAAAAGAAAGCCAAUCCCUGGCUUCCCAUUCAUCUACAAUCCAUUCUAGAUCAACAAAAUUAUCGUCUUCCUCCAACGCUGGCGAUUUUUCCACGCUUCCCUUCGAUAUUUUAACCAAAAUCGCCGCCUCCUUCACCUUGACUAACAUCCAAGCGGCGUCUCUGGUAUGCCGGUCGUGGAGGGAUGCGCUUCGGCCUCUCAGAGAGGCCAUGAUGUUUCUAAGAUGGGGUAAGCGGUUCAAGCACGGCGGAGGCGGCGUGCGUCCUAAUUUGGAGAAGGCUCUUGACUCGUUUUUGAAAGGCGCGGCUCGUGGCUCUACACUGGCCAUGGUUGAUGCUGGCCUUGUUUACUGGGAAAUGGGUCAGAAGGAGAAGGCGAUUUCCUUGUAUCGCAAAGCCGCGGAGCUUCGGGAUCCUGCAGGGCAAUGUAAUUUGGGAAUUUCUUAUUUGAAAGCCAAACCCCCAAAACAGAAGGAAGCCAUUAAAUGGUUGUCAGAAGCAUCCAUUGCUGGGCAUGUUCGUGCUCAAUACCAACUUGCACGUUGUCUACAUCAAGGUGGUGGGGUGGAUCAUAAUCUACAGGAGGCUGCUAAAUGGUAUCUAAAAGCAGCUACUGGUGGGUGUGUACGUGCAAUGUACAAUGUGGCCCUAUGUUACUCAGUUGGGGAAGGUUUGUCCCAGAGUCGUCAACAAGCAAGGAAAUGGAUGAAACGUGCUGCUGAUGGUGGCCAUAGCAAAGCACAAUUUGAGCAUGGACUUGGCCUUUUCUCUGAAGGAGAGAUGAUGAAAGCUGUAGUUUACCUGGAACUUGCUACUCGUUCUGGUGAAACAGCAGCUGCUCAUGUCAAGAAUGUAGUUCUCCAAAAAAUCUCAACAGCUACACAUGAUCGUGUUCUGUUUCUUGCUGACAACUAGCGAGCUUUGCCUUCAUCUCACCGAGUUAUUCAAAAUCAAAGGUUAUGGUGUGGUGGCUUGGCUGCUAGACAAUGAAUCAAGUUCUAAGAAUCCAUGGUCCAAGUAAUGUUGGAGAAGCCAGGAGCUGGCCUUGGACAACCUCUGCCAUCAAGGUCAAUAAAUAAUCAGUGCUAUACAAAAUGCUAAGUGUCUUACGGACCCACACAGACUGCAAAAUGCAGGGAGGUCUGCCCAUCAGCAUCUGUCAAGAAGAACCAGGUUCCGUAGUAGACUUAUACAAAUAAAAGGUAUGAGGAUCGCAUCAAGAAGAAUAAUUAGAGAAAUAUCGGGGGAGGGAUUAGUGGAAUCAGAAAGGCAUGCAUGUUUCCUGUGUAUGGUUGCAUCAUUUGUUGUUGCUCGAGUUGUUAAUGAAUUGAGUCCUAAAGGCAACUGACAACAAUAGGGUAUAAUGCAAUUAUCAUAAACAACUAAUGAGGCUUUUUUUUUCCCCUCAAUCUGCUGAUACAUCAGGUA